rnacentral:rRNA from 1 species
UACGUAGGUGGCAAGCGUUGUCCGGAUUUAUUGGGCGUAAAGCGAGCGCAGGCGGUUCCUUAAGUCUGAUGUGAAAGCCCAUGGCUCAACCGUGGAAGGUCAUUGGAAACUGGGGAACUUGAGUGCAGAAGAGGAGAGUGGAAUUCCAUGUGUAGCGGUGAAAUGCGUAGAUAUAUGGAGGAACACCAGUGGCGAAGGCGACUCUCUGGUCUGUAACUGACGCUGAGGCUCGAAAGCUAGGGUAGCAAACGGGGAUUAGAUA